GGACCCGCACAAGCGGUGGAGCAUGUGGUUUAAUUCGAAGCAACGCGAAGAACCUUACCAGGCCUUGACAUCCCCCUGAAUCACCCGUAACGGGGUGAGCCUUCGGGCAGGGGAGACAGGUGGUGCAUGGUUGUCGUCAGCUCGUGUCGUGAGAUGUUGGGUCAAGUCCCGCAACGAGCGCAACCCUUGUCCUCAGUAGCCAGCAGUUCGGCUGGGCACUCUGGGGAGACCGCCGGGGAUAACCCGGAGGAAGAUGGGGAUGACGUCAAAUCAUCAUGCCCCUUAUGGCCUGGGCUACACACGUGCUACAAUGGCGCCGUACAAAGGGAAGCCUACCCGCGAGGGGAAGCGAAUCCCAAAAAAUACGUCUCAGUUCGGACUGCAGGCUGCAACCCGCCUGCACGAAGCUGGAAUCGCUAGUAAUCGCGGAUCAGCACGCCGCGGUGAAUACGUUCCCGGGUCUU
rnacentral:rRNA from 1 species